GGGAGCCCUGAGGAUGAGGACACAAGAAGGAAAAAAGAAGAGAAUAUAAAAGGACUGAACAAGAGGGAAUGAUUAUAGAGUAGUUGGCACUGGGCAAGAAAUGGGAGAGGAAAAUUAAAGCCUUCAAAAGAGCAGGAGUAAGUCUGCAGCUUCCCUUUUCACCUCCAGUACUGACUUCAAAGGGGCUUGCCUGUACCAGAGUCCUCUUUAUCAGAAAUAGAAAAAGCAUAGCUCUUCUUCCUUUCAAUUCUGUUCCAUCACCCCUCAUUACCUCUCUCCUGCUCUCUUCUCAUAGUCUCUCAACUAGUGUCUCCCCCCUCCAAUUUAUCAUGCACACUGCUGAGAGACUUAUUUUCUUAAAGUGUAUCUCAGAUCAUGGCACUGCCCCGCUCAAAAAUCUCCAAUAGUUCCCUAUUACCAAUGAAAUAAAAUGGAAACUCUUUAACUAGGACAUUUAGUGGGCUUCAUGAUUUGACCUCUUUCUAGCUAUUCCUUCUAAUAUUUUCCCAGUCCCAGUUUGGCCCACACUGUGGCCAAACUGGACCACUUGCCAUUCCUUGAAAACAUUCUUUGCUCUCCAGUCUCUGCAUCUUUGUUCUGCCUGUUUUCUCUGCUAUUAUGAGUCCUCAUCUUCCAUAUUUGGAUAUUGAGAACCACAGUGUAAUGCAUCAGUUUUCAAGUAAUUUUUUUUUUUAUCUCAGAACUAUAUAUAGGAGGGGAGAAGGGUGGGAAGGAGGCGGAAAAUAGAAUGAGACCGAUUUACGGUCAUAGCUAAUGUGAGAAUUUGUUUCUCUUAGAUAAGCAGAUUUGUUAUAAUUUAUUACAUAUUUAUAACAAAUCAUAUGGAAAAAUAAAAUAAAUGGUAACUCAAAAAAAGUAUAGAGGAUGCCAAGGAACUUUUGUUAUGUGUGUGAUAUCUGCUGAUUAUUUUUUGUCAUUCAAUUUUUUUCAGUCAUGUUUGACUCUCUGAGACCCCAUUUAGGGAUUUCUUGGCAAAGAUAGUGGGGUGGUUUGCCAUUUCCUUCUUCUGAAGCAAAGAGUUAAGUGACUUGUCCAAGAUCAUAGACUUGUAGUUUGUAGUGCCUCAGGCCAGAUUUGAACUCAGGUCUUCCUGAUUCCGGGCCCAGCACUCUAUCCACUGUGCCAACUCGCUUCCCCAAGCACUGCAAUUAUAAAGACUAAGUGAAAUAAUCCCUUGACUUUAAGAAGAUUACACAUUGUGUAAUUGUGUCAGAGAAGGAAAGACAACAUGUGUAUGUAUAUAUAACAUGCACACAUAAGACAUCCCAACAUGUAUAUAUAUGUGUGUGUGUGUGUGUGUGUAUCUAUACAUAUAAAGGAUAAAAUGCAAAAUGAAUAAAGUAGUUUAUGGAGGGUAUAGAGCAUAUAUAUGGUGAACCUUUUAGAGAUCAAGUGCCAAAACUGCAAUCCUCAUGCUGCGUGUGAGCUACCUCCUUACCGGGGAGGGACAAAGCUCUCCCAUGGGGCUGCUGGGUAUCGAGAUGGGUCAUGUGAGAAAUGUCCUCAGUCACAUGUGGCAAGGGGGAAGGGAGCAGCCCCCUCCGGCACAUGUGCCAUAGGUUUGCCAACAUGGGUACAGGGGAAAGGAUAACUGAACCUGGAGUCAGGAUACCUGGUUUAAUCACUAACUGAUACUUCUUACCUGUGUGUUCUCCAUUAGUCUCUCUGCACCUUAGUUUCCUUAUCUGUAAAAUGGAGACAAUAAUAUCUUUCAUCUCUAUCUCAUAGGCUUGCUUUGAGGAUUAAAUGAUCGUAUUUAUAAAUGCAAAUACUUUUUUUGGUGUUUCAAUGAAGUGUUUCUUUCAAUAAAAGACACUGUACCAAUGAUGGCAUCAGGGCUUGUCCCCUAUGAAGCCUCAGUUUGAUUCCUAAAAUGUUUUGGCAGCUUGGCAGGCUUUUAUCCUGUUUCAGCAGUUUAGAAAAUGUUUUGCUUUAGUUCUGGUGUGACCCGCUUCUUUAGGAUUGAGAUUCGGGUUCAGUCUGGUGUUCAGAAAGUUAAUUAAGUGAUUGCUUUGGAUUCACAGUUUGGUGAACCACGUUUGAUUUCUUCUUUAGGAAAACUUGCUUGGCUUAGAAUUCGGUUAUUGGGCCAAUGAGUUGCCUGAUCCCUCUGAAGUCAUUGCAUGUUGUCACCAAACAGUGACAAAGUGAAGGGAGGAGAUUGGCCAUAGGGUGCCAGAAGCCAAUGGGGUUCCUCAUGAAGUUAAGGGACCAGAGAACAGCUGAGCUUGGGCUGAUUCUAAGGAAAGGAGAGAUGCUUGCUGGCCCGGCAGGGGACUUUGUGGCUUUAUUAGGGAGCAGGACACAUUUGAUGGUUGUUGUCAGAGGGGUGCGAGCCAGAGAGAGGAGGGAGAACUAGGAACUGCACUUAGCUCCUACGUACACAUUCAGUGGGAAGCAGGGAAAGAAGCCAGAUGACUGGAUCUCAACAGGAAAAAGCACAAAUUGUUGGCCAGCACUACUUCACUUUCAUUUGGCAUUUGAAUUUACAGAUUGUACCACUUUCUUCCUACUCAUCCUCUGAAGUGUCUAUGACAUGAUGAGGACGCCAGAGAAAACCCUCAUGUGGCAAUUGGCAAGGAGAAGCGGCUUUCCCUUUGCCUCUAAGGUGGGUGGCACGAGAGCCACUGCCCUGCUUGACAGGUGCCAGCCAUCCCAGGGAAGGGACCAAGGUCUGAGUGGGCACGGGGGACCUUUCCACAUUUAGGGGGAAGCUGCUGAGGUGAGGAGAAGCCACUCUCUAGGGGCUGCCUCUUUCGAGGCAGACAGACCUCGGCUGUUUUUCUUUCUUUUUCCAUGGUCCAUGGAUACUUCUUUGAAAAGUAUUGCCAUCUCUUCUGUCGUUCUUAGCCUCUCCUCCCCUCUCCUGUGGCCAGUGUCCACAGGCACACCAAGUUUCAUCUUUUCUUUAAGAGAACUUGUUUGCUUUACUAUGAAGUUAUUUGGCCAAUCAGUUCAGCAUGUCCUGAAGUGACUGGGUAUUGUCUCCAAGCUCAUCAUUCCUUGACAAAGUGAAGCAAGGGGAUAGGUCACAGGGCUGCGAGAAACUCAAAGGAUCCCCACCCCAUGCCCCCUCUCCCAGACUCUCCCUUGUCGUGGAAAGGAACAGCCAGGCAAAACAAAAGGAAUGCUUGGACCAUCUCUGGGAACACAGGCUUCAUGUGACACUCAUAACCCUCUACCUUCUCUGCCACAGGGGCGAACCGUGCCUUUUUACCUUCACACCUCUGAAGACAGGACAGGUCACCGCUUUGAUCGCAUUCUGAAGUCUUUCAGCAUUAUUUUCCUUUGCAAUAGUGUGCCCAUUGGGUAAACUGCUCUUCUGGUUACGCUCAUUUUAUUCUACACUGGUUCACACUUUUUUGGAGUUCUUCGUUUCUGUUUCUCCUAAUGGCACCAUGAUAUGCCAUGAUAUUAAUCGAUGAUUAUAUCUAUUAUAUAUUUUUUCAGUCAUUCUGUAACCAACAGACACUAACUUUACCUCCAGUUCUUUUUAGCCCAGUAAGUGUCUCCUAUUGAAUGUAUUGGUGUAAUGUGGGAUCUUCCCUUUUGCCAUGACCUCACUGGGUCUCGCCAUUAAAGGCUCUCCCAUUGGGACCAUGCUUUAUGAAUGCUCGAAUCUCUCCCCUGCCGUUGUUCUUGAACGUUAGUGCCUUUAUCCAGGCCUGGGAUGGGCUACAUGAAAGCAAGUGCGAGGGAAAAAAGAAGAUGAGUUUUAUAGGAGCAUCUUUUAACAUGGCUCUUUGAUAGAGGGGAACUAAAAUGCCGUUGUCUGGACUGAGAGGGUCCAGUGACUGUGUGGAGUCCCUGUUGUCCUCCGAGGUGAGGCAGCCUUCUCACAAUUCCAGCUCAUGCAUGGUUCAGUGAGUGGAGGGAGCGUUAACGGUUCCUCUGGAGCCAUCCCGGUGGUAGCCGGUCAGCGUGGCUGCCCUGAACAUAAUGAAGCUGUUUGGGUCCAUAGACUGCAAGCCUCGAGUUUCUAGAUGACAAGGAUGGGGCCCAUUCAUUCAUGGAGACUGCUUCCGUGUGCAUCCAUAAGGAGUGAAAAAAAAAAGAAAAAAUCCAAGUGAAAACGCCCCCAUUGUGUUAAUGAACAUCUCUGCUCCGAUCGACACAUUGUCUUUGAAGUAGUUCUGUUUCAAGUUGCCGGCAACUGGCCAAUAAACCCAGAUAUUGCUUGUUCGGACUCCUAAA